rnacentral:rRNA from 1 species
UGAGGCCCAACCUCAAAAUCGCAGUCGAAACUUUUAGACUAGAGUAUAGUAGGGGUAAAGGGAAUUUCCAGUGGAGCGGUGAAAUGCGUAGAGAUUGGAAAGAACACCGAUGGCGAAGGCACUUUACUUGGCUAUUACUAACACUCAGAGACGAAAGCUAGGGUAGCAAAUGGGAUUAGAUACCCCAGUAGUCCUAGCUGUAAACAAUGGAUACUAGAUGUUGAACAGAUCGACCUGUGCAGUAUUAAAGCUAACGCGUUAAGUAUCCCGCCUGGGAAGUAUGCUCGCAAGAGUGAAACCCAAAGGAAUUGACGGGGGCCCGCACAAGCGGUGGAGCAUGUGGUUUAAUUCGAUGCAACGCGAAGAACCUUACCAGGGUUUGACAUGAUACGAAUUUCUUCGAAAAAAGAAAGUGCCGUUUGGAACGUAUACACAGGUGGUGCAUGGCUGUCGUCAGCUCGUGUCGUGAGAUGUUGGGUUAAGUCCCGCAACGAGCGCAACCCUCAUUUUUAGUUGCCAUAUGGAACUCUAAAAAGACUGCCGGUUAUAAACCGGAGGAAGGCGGGGAUGACGUCAAGUCAGCAUGCCCCUUACACCCUGGGCUACACACGUGCUACAAUGGGCGAGACAAUGAGAUGCAACUCUGCAAAGACUAGCUAAUCUAUAAACUCGUUCUAAGUUCGGAUUGUAGGCUGCAACUCGCCUGCAUGAAGUUGGAAUCGCUAGUAAUCGCUGGUCAGCUACACAGCGGUGAAUUCGUUCCCGGGCCUUGUACACACCGCCCGUCACACCAUGGAAGCUGGUUAUGCCCGAAGUCGUUACUCUAACCAUUUUGGAGGAGGAUGCCUAAGGUAGAAUUAGUGACUGGGGUGAAGUCGUAACCAAGGUAA